AACGCACAUUGCGCCUUUUGGUAUUCCGAGAGGCACGCCUGUCUGAGCGUCAGUAAAAACCUUCGGCUUUGGAUUUAUUUUCACCGCCGGUGCUGGCGGCGGGGUGCCCCCGUUAAAAGGGGCCCCCCCGCUUAAACCUGACGGCGGGAGGCAAGCGGCCGCGACAAUAGUAGAAAUAUCAUUUGUCCUUAUGGCCCGCGAGUCUUCCCCGCCUUUAAACACCAAACCUAAUUUUUGACCUCAGAUCAGACGAGGAUACCCGCUGAACUUAA
rnacentral:misc_RNA from 1 species